AUUGAACGCUGGCGGCAGGCCUAACACAUGCAAGUCGAGCGGAUGAAGGGAGCUUGCUCCUGGAUUCAGCGGCGGACGGGUGAGUAAUGCCUAGGAAUCUGCCUGGUAGUGGGGGAUAACGUCCGGAAACGGGCGCUAAUACCGCAUACGUCCUGAGGGAGAAAGGGGGGGAUCUUCGGACCUCACGCUAUAAGAUGAGCCUAGGUCGGAUUAGCUAGUUGGUGGGGUAAAGGCCUACCAAGGCGACGAUCCGUAACUGGUCUGAGAGGAUGAUCAGUCACACUGGAACUGAGACACGGUCCAGACUCCUACGGGAGGCAGCAGUGGGGAAUAUUGGACAAUGGGCGAAAGCCUGAUCCAGCCAUGCCGCGUGUGUGAAGAAGGUCUUCGGAUUGUAAAGCACUUUAAGUUGGGAGGAAGGGCAGUAAGUUAAUACCUUGCUGUUUUGACGUUACCAACAGAAUAAGCACCGGCUAACUUCGUG
rnacentral:rRNA from 1 species